rnacentral:rRNA from 1 species
GAUUCAUCCUUCAGUCGAUCCAGUGGCCUCCUGCUCGCGGCUGGCCUAUCCCCACCUACCCAACCAGAGCUACACAUCCCCCGCUUCCAGCUUGGCACAGUAGAACCGAUUCGUCAAUCCGUCGAUCCAGCGGCAGCAGCACGGCUCCUCGCCCUCCUGCUCGCCUAUCCCCGAAGCGAAAUAGAGCUGCAUCCCCGCCUUCCUCUCCCCCUCAAAUCCUACUAGAUCCACAUAGCACAAGAGCUUGGAGAGAUCCCGAAUCCAAUCCAAUCCCCAACGGUUCGAUGGAGAUCAACUCCCUCCUUGGGAGUCAGACUCGACAUCUUCCGAGAUGUACGGACCAGAUGUUGAUAUCCAUUCUCAGAGAGCACCGUGCGUCGGAGCUCGACCUCUGGCAAGAAAUCGAUGCCAUGAGCGGUAAAAUACACGACCAGUACCUCUUGGUCAAGACUGCCACGGAAGCCCUGAAGACGGAUCACGGGACUUGGUGGCCGAAAAAAUUGGUCUCCAUCCCCAACACCUCCCAAGGUAAUUCCCCCAACUCCCCUAAAUUCGUGGGGACGAAGACGACGAUGGAGUUUAAACCCGCGGAUGGCAGCAAGCCGGUUGUUGGCAUGACACGGUACAACCUACUUACGACUAGGGAAGAUGGUGAUGGAUUGGAUUUGGAUGUAAGGAGCAUGUUUACCUUGGAAUUUAAUGUUUUUGUUUUGCAAUUAGACAUGUUUAACUUCUCCUUAUCUUCUUCUUUUUAACUGCAUGCAUAUAGGAGGAUCUGGCUUUACGUCAUGUCUUCCCGCUGGAAGGAAAAGGCAAGGGCACCCGAAACCGGAAUGGCAAAAGAUCACGAUCAGGAUGUGAAGUGGAUCCACACGAACCCAUUACCCAUGACGGCGUGGAAGAAUUGGACCAAAUGAUGUCCAAUUCCAAAAAGUAUCCAGUUCUAGACGCGGGCAUGGAUGUUCAGGAUCUGCUCUUCGCUGAUCAACCGUCAAAACAGUGGCAAAGCUUCACCAAGAUACACACCAAAAAUCCCAAACUUACGUACGCGGCGUGCAACCACUGCGACACGGUGUUGAAGUUAACAGGUGGUACCAAAUGUGGCACCGGCUCCCUCAGGCAUCAUAAUGACUCCUGCCGAUGCAAACCCAAGCAGGAGCAGCUGCCCGGCAGCUCUUCAUCGACGCCUAUUCCGUCCAUUGCAUUGCAGGCCAUCGCGGAACAAUUAUAGGUAGUGCAGUUCAGAUCAGAGGUAGUUUAGAUGAGGUAAGAUGUAGUGUAGUUGAGACUGAGCUGCCUCAAAGAGGAUUGAUUGCUCGUCUCGCGGUGUAAAUCCUUGUAUUCAUUUGUGUUUCAAUGAGGACAGUGAAUACGAAGUGGAGGUGUGGAUGUUUGCCAUUUAGGAUCGCUUUAUUCGUUGUUCUCCUUGUUCAAAAGUGACAACACUUGUGAAAACACAAUGGGUCCGGGUUUAUGUAUGUCGGAAAAAAAAUCAGGCAACAAUAUGC